GCCGACAUAGCACAGUGGUAGUGCAGCGGUUUUGUAAACCGAAGGUCGGGGGUUCAAAUCCCUCUGUCGGCACCA
rnacentral:tRNA from 1 species